rnacentral:rRNA from 1 species
CCUACGGGAGGCAGCAGUGAGGAAUAUUGGUCCAUGGUCGGGAGACUGAACCAGCCAAGCCGCGUGAGGGAGGAAGGUACAGAGUAUCGUAAACCUCUUUUGUCAGGGAACAAAGACUGGGACGCGUCCCCGGAUGAGUGUACCUGAAGAAAAAGCAUCGGCUAACUCCGUGCCAGCAGCCGCGGUAAUGCGGAGGAUGCGAGCGUUAGCCGGAUUUAUGGGGUUUAAAGGGUGGGCAGGCGGUCUGUUAAGUCAGCGGUCAAAGCCCGGGGCUCCACCCCGGCCCGCCGUUGAAACUGGCAGUCUCGAGUUGGAGAGAAGUAUGCGGAAUGCGCGGUGUAGCGGUGAAAUGCAUAGAUAUCGCGCAGAACUCUGAUUGCGAAGGCAGCAUGCCGGCUCCACACUGACGCUGAGGCACGAAAGCGUGGGUAUCGAACAGGAUUAGAUACCCCAGUAGUC